rnacentral:tRNA from 1 species
GGAGAGGUACCGAAGUGGCCAUAACGGCGCCGACUCGAAAUCGGAUGGGGGACUAACAUCCCCACGAGGGUUCGAAUCCCUCCCUCUCCGCCA